AGUGAACGCUGGCGGUAGGCCUAACACAUGCAAGUCGGACGGCAGCACAGGAGAGCUUGCUCUCUGGGUGGCGAGUGGCGGACGGGUGAGGAAUACAUCGGAAUCUACUUUUUCGUGGGGGAUAACGUAGGGAAACUUACGCUAAUACCGCAUACGACCUACGGGUGAAAGCAGGGGACCUUCGGGCCUUGCGCGAUUGAAUGAGCCGAUGUCGGAUUAGCUAGUUGGCGGGGUAAAGGCCCACCAAGGCGACGAUCCGUAGCUGGUCUGAGAGGAUGAUCAGCCACACUGGAACUGAGACACGGUCCAGACUCCUACGGGAGGCAGCAGUGGGGAAUAUUGGACAAUGGGCGCAAGCCUGAUCCAGCCAUACCGCGUGGGUGAAGAAGGCCUUCGGGUUGUAAAGCCCUUUUGUUGGGAAAGAAAUCCGGCUGGCUAAUACCCGGUUGGGAUGACGGUACCCAAAGAAUAAGCACCGGCUAACUUCGUGCCAGCCGCCGCAGUAA
rnacentral:rRNA from 1 species